CCCUUAGAUGUUCUGGGCCGCACGCGCGCUACACUGAUUCAUGCAACAAGUUUUGUCCUUGGCUGAUAGGCCUGGGUAAUCUUUGAACGUGAAUCGUGAUGGGGAUAGAUGAUUGCAAUUAUUCAUCUUCAACGAGGAAUUCCUAGUAAACGCAGGUCAUCAGCUUGCAUUGAUUACGUCCCUGCCCUUUGUACACACCGCCCGUCGCACCUACCGAUUGAAUGGUCCGGUGAAAUCUUCGGAUCUGAGAGAUGUCUGAUUAAUUUCGGACGCCUUUUGGAAAAGUUGCUUAAACCUUACCAUUUAGAGGAAGGUGAAGUCGUAACA
rnacentral:rRNA from 1 species